rnacentral:rRNA from 1 species
UACGGGGGGGGCAAGCGUUGGUCGGAAUUACUGGGCGUAAAGGGCUCGUAGGCGGCCAACUAAGUCAGACGUGAAAUCCCCAGGCUCAACCUGGGAACUGCGUCUGAUACUGGAUGGCUUGAAUCCGGGAGAGGGAUGCAGAAUUCCAGGUGUAGCGGUGAAAUGCGCAGAUAUCGGGAAGAACACCCGUGGCGAAGGCGGUUCUCUGGGACGGUACUGACGCUGAGACGCAAAAGCGUGGGGAGCGAACAGG